ACGCUCGACACCUACUGGAGGCAGCAGUGGGGAAUAUUGCACAAUGGGGGAAACCCUGAUGCAGCGACGCCGCGUGGAGGAAGAAGGUCUUCGGAUUGUAAACUCCUGUUGUUGGGGAAAAAGAGGAUGGUACCCAACAAGGAAGUGACGGCUAACUACGUGCCUGCAGCCGCGGUAAUCUGAGCGGGCUGGCAAGGC
rnacentral:rRNA from 1 species